CCUACGGGGUGCAGCAGUGAGGAAUAUUGGUCAAUGGGCGCGAGCCUGAACCAGCCAAGUAGCGUGAAGGAUGACUGCCCUACGGGUUGUAAACUUCUUUUAUAAAGGAAUAAAGUGAGGCCCGUGUGCCUUUUUGUAUGUACUUUAUGAAUAAGGAUCGGCUCACUCCGUGCCCGCAGCCGCGGUAAUACGGAGGAUCCGAGAGUUAUCCGGAUUUAUUGGGUUUAAAGGGAGCGUAGAUGGGUUGUUAAGUCAGUUGUGAAAGUUUGCGGCUCAACCGUAAAAUUGCAAUUGAUACUGGCAGCCUUGAGUACAGUUGAGGGAGGCGGAAUUCGUGGGGUAGCGGUGAAAGGCUUAGAUAGCACGAAGAACUCCGAUUGCGAAGGCAGCCUACUAAACUGCCACUGACAUUGAUGCUCGAAAGUGUGGGUAUCAAACAGGAUUAGAUACCCCUGUAGUC
rnacentral:rRNA from 1 species